rfam:Schistosoma rodhaini strain Burundi genome assembly, scaffold: SROB_scaffold0000111
GUUUUUCUGACGAGUCCCAAAUAGGACGAAGCGCGCGUCCUGGAU